rnacentral:lncRNA from 1 species
UUUAUAAGGAAAAGAUCAUUCUCGUUCAAUAGGCUGAGAGGGUUUCUGUUCACUUUUGUUGUACUAUUUUUGUGGGCAAUAAUUAUCCCCCACUUAUCACCCAAUGAAGACACCAAGUGCCCUCCCAGAAGGAUCACUUGGAACUCCUUAGAUUCUUAAGGAAAAGCUUCAUGAAGAAAAGCAGUACUUAUGUAUCAUUAGAUUCUCUCUUCUGUGUGGUCACCCUCCACUUAUUAGCCUUCCGGUUUUUGGUUCCUCCUUUUAGAUUUCACCACUUCAUUUCUGUCAUCAGCAAAUCGCCAAAACAGCUUGAACUUUCAUGAGCUGGAAAAGUGUCUAAUAAUCUAAUUCCCUGCUCAUGCAUUCAGAGAAGUUUCUAGAACCAGGAAAGUUCAUGUAGAGACAAAAUGUGCUAGCCAACGCUGACUGCAGAAUAAAUUAUUUCUCAGUGAGAGAACCAAAACAAUUUUUCCCCCAAUUUUACUUGUUUUUUUCCUCUCUUUUGGUAGUAUCUUCACUUAAUUCUUCAAGUUUUUAGGCAAAAUGAACAUUAUUUCCUCUCAUUUCCUUCUACUUUCCAAUAGUGAUAACCAAGUAGUCUAGUUCUCGCUGGAAAUGAUACCUCCCUUGCCACUGAAGUAAAAGUCUGGGGUAGUUUUCCAAGCUGUUGAAAUACAAAAGAAAUAAUGCAGUGGAAUUGGUAAAGAAAGCUGUAAAUAAACUGUUUUUGUAGAUCAUAAGAAUUUUUAAGAGGUUUUUGAUAUUUUACAGAUAUGUUUGACGCAUUUCAUUGAGAUAUUGCUUUUCUACUUUAUGCUAAUUGGCAUCGUACAAUUUUAGAACUGAACACAAUCAGUGCAACAUCUUUAUUUUAGGUUAUAACCAUAGUUUACUGCGACCCGAGGAGCAUGUGACUAGGCAUAGUUAUGCCAUAGCAAAGCUGGAACUAAAACUCACAUUUCUUGACUCCCAAGCCAGCACCAUUUGUACUUAGAAUUUCUUGUAGAUACUCUUUUCUCUGGGCUGGAGAGAGGAAUUCAGUAAAUAUUUGUGUCUAUAGGGACCAGAUGUCACUAGUCUUAUGUAGAGGAAAAUAAGCGAGCUACCAAAGGCGGGGACUACAAUUAAGUAAAGGAAACUUCAGAAAGAAUCUCCUCAGGAGACCCCAGAGAAAGUCUUCCAUUCAUUAAUAAACAGCUAUUAGCUGAGUGUGUAUUAUGUACUGGCACCAUGGUAGACAGUGGCAUAAAGAGGUGAAAGAGACACAUAUGUCUGUGCAAAAACAAAACCCAAAGUAUAUUGGGAUUAGAAAGUUCUAGGUUGAUAGAACAAAUAUUGACAAAGAUCAGCAAAGUGUAGGUAAGAACUAGUGCACUUUCCCUGCUAGAAAUAAACUCUUCAAAAACAGGAGGUGUUGAAUGGAUAAACAAAAUGGGGCAUAUAUGUACAAUGGAAUAUUUAUCAGUCUUAAAAAGAAAUGAAAUUCUGAUACAUGCUACUACAUGGAUGAAUCUUGAAAACAUUAUGCUAAGCCAGACAUAGAAGGACAAAUAUUGUGUAAUUCUACUUUUAUGAGGUACCUGGAAUAGAUUUAUAGAGAUAGAAGGUAGAACACAGGUUGCCAGAGGCUGGGAGGAGGAGGGAUGGGAAAUUCUUAUUCAGUGAGUAUGGAGUUUCUGUUUGCGAUGAUGAAAAAGUUCUGGAAAUGGACAGUGGUGAUGGUUGUACAAGAUUUUAGGUGUACUUAAUGCCACUGAAUUGUACACAUAAAAAUGAUUAAAAUGGUGAAUUUUAUGUUAGGUAUAUUUUACCACACACAUACACAAAAAAGUGGGGACAUGUCUUAUUCAUCAUUAUUACCCAUUCCCCAGCACUUAGCACAUGACAGGCUCAAGUAUUUUUUUAACUGAAUUGAACCAGGUGCCAAAGAAGGAACUGAAGAGAAAGUUGUGAUAUACAUCAUGUCAGGAGUUGCAGAGAACUGGGGAUUCAGCUCAGGCAGGCAUGAUGGAUUCCCGCAGCGGGAAGAGUGCUUCCUGGAGGGUUGGCAUCCUGACAGUGAAUGGCUUGUUACACAAUCAGGGCUGGAGCCUUCUUGGAAGGUCUAGGCUAUUGCUUGGUGCAGAGGAAGCACAGUGGAGUGAUGAGCCAAGAAGGAAAGACUUUCUGUAGUGUAUGCAUGUGUGUGUGUGUGUGUGUGCACAUGCAUGCGUGUGUCUGUGUGCGUGUGCGUUAUAGCUGUGUUUUCCGAGGAAAGCAUCUUGUAUUAGUUUGGAUACUUUCUGCUACCAGUUCAUUCUUGCAUUUCUUCCACGAUAUAUAUGUGUGUGUGUGUGUGUGUGUGUGUGUGUGUGUGUGUAUAUAUAUAUAUAUAUAUAUAUACAGCUCAGUAAAAUUUUACUAUGUAAACACCGCAAAACUACCAUCCAGGUGAAGAUAGAGAAUAUUCCCAGCACCUUGGGAGGCCCCCCAAUCCCUCUUUCCAGUCAGGCUUUCCCCUAGCUCCUAUAGUAACUUGUUCCAUGCGGUUUAAAUGAGCAUCUACUGUGUGUCAGACACCACUGUAGGCACUGGAGCAGAUGCAAAGAUGAAUAAGGUGAUCCCUCUCUCUAGCAGAUCAGAGCUCAGAGAUGUAAAUAAACACGUGAACAAAUAAUGUGAUAACUACUCCAAUAGAUGUAUGUAGAAAGGGCUGUGAGAAUAAAGGGAGAUAAUGCACAUGAGUUGGAGGACAGUCAUAUGCCACAGAGCAACGUUUCAGUCAACAAUGGACCACAUGUACGACGGUGGUCCCAUUAGAUUAGCACCAUAUAGCCUAGGUGUGUAGUAGGCUAUACCAUCUAGGUUUGUGUAAGUGUAGUCUGUGAUGUUCGCACAAUGGCAAUAUAGCUUACCGACACACUUCUCAUAUCCAUAAUGACGCAACAGAACAUAUCCUGUUGUUAAGUGAUGCAGGACUGUAGUUAGGAAGGCUGUGCAUUAGAGGUGAGAAUUAAGUCUGACCUUGAAGGACACUAGGUAGGAUGCGGAGAGGAGAGUUAGAAGAUGAGUCCUCCAGGUAAGGAGAGCACCAGGAGUUAAGGAUCAGAGAAAGGAGUAAAUGUGGCAGCGGGUUAGGGAGGGUGUAAAAUCCCACAGGACCGCAUAAUUGAUGACAUAAUGUUGCACAGGUAGGGGACAGCCUGUGGAGAGCCUUGAACACUGGGAUGAUGAAACAUGCCUGCAGGAUUUAAUUUAAUUUUUCUUUCUGUCUGAAGUUUUUCAUAAAGAGCAAAUGUGGAAGAAUGGCAGAAUUUGAUCUGUAUUCAAGCUGUGUCUUUACGGCCACCCAAACCAAACUCCCCUCAGUGUGGUUGUCCAUGUGAUCCAUUUCCUCAGCAACAGCCCCGCUGGGGUGGGGUAACGGAGGGUGCUCCCCGGAACAAUACUGGAUUGUCCAGAGGCAGCUUACGUUCCCAUAGCUGGGAACGCUGAUAGUUAUUAACACAACCUGCUAUGUUACAGGAGAAAUAGACCUUUGCUAAUCUUGUCAGGCUGACUCAUCUUGUAGAGGAAAUUAUACAUCUAGUAUAAUUGUUUCUUAGUGACAGUACUUGCCAAGCAUUAGCCAUUCCUAUUUCAUGUUAAACGUGUACUCAAAACUGCAAUGUGUAUUUUAGUUUCCCUCCUGGUUCGUAUCUGUUCUGAUGUUUAAGAGAAAAAAAUUUGUAAAUGCCUUUGUUGCUGCUCUUUGGUAAACUGUCUUUUAUCCAAGUUAAUAAGGAAAGAGGCAAUCCCAAAUUAGCUAAACAGAGGUUUGACAACUUAAAAUCCUUUGAAAGGAGUAUAAUUUUAUUAUUUCCUCAUGAAAACAACUUUUUCAACUUUAGGUAAGUAUUGUCCAUUGAAAGCCUAUUUUACAGAAGGAUCAACUAUUUUAUAAUUAUGAUAUUAAUUGCUAACCUCCAAAACUCCCACAAUGGCUUGAAAAUGUAUUAUAUCGAGUAGAUUACAUAUAUUCCUGAUGAUCUUAUUUCUCAUCCAAAACUCCUUUCUGCUGGAUUAGGGCAGAGAUAAAUCUCCCCUCCUCUUGACAAAUUUACAUAAAUUUCAGGAUGCAAAUUAUUGAGAAAUACAGUAGUAUUUCUAAUAAUGUAUGUAUUGUGUCCUGGGUAAGUACAGCACUUAAAAGCAGAUAUUUUAAAAACAAGUAACGUGUUUUUAUAAACAACUUUCUAAUAAGACUGAGUAAUUUUUUAUAUUGUUUCUGGUCAAUUUAAAUUAAGAAUCCAAAAAUAGUACCUAGAAUUAAUUAAAGACUCUAGUGUGGUACUUUUUCAUGAGUCUCCUACUUUACUGCCCAGUUUGAACCAUAAAGUAUAUUACCAUGAAAAAUGUGGUCCCAUAUACAGCUUUGUAUUUUAUUUCAAUUACUUUUAUGACCAUGAAACUUGGCAGGGCUGCUACUCCUCCACUGUUCUCCUCCCAUUUCCAAAGAAUUUAUAGGCUAUCUGAACUCUGUGGGGUCUUCUUUUGUCCCUAAAAAUUUGAAUCAUGAUUUGCGUUUCUUUUUAUUAAUAGAGGAGCUAUAUAACAUGAAUUUUCUCUGUUUUUACUUGUCAUCUCUGUGAAACUCUUUUUAGUCUAUUCAAAUUUCACACCGUGCCAUUGUCUAUAAAAGUUUAUUACACACAGUUUUAAUGGCAGAGCACAAAACUGCAGAGACUCAAGCUUUCCAUUAUAGGUAAACUUUUAAUAGGCAAUCUGAACCAAUGGUGCAACUUAAUUAACCCUCUAAAUAUUUUAUCCUGACUUCUAUAUUUCUAAUGUCAUCUUGAAGAGAAAUCUGAGUGUGUGGGGAUCAUUUUUGCUGCAUUGCUCAUUUAUGAGCAUCCAGACAGACUGACACAUCUAUUUUAAUUGAACCUCUACUUACUUACUAAGAGGUGCUGACCUCACUUAUGCCGUGUGUGGGUUAGUUGAGUCCAGUUUGCCCAGCGGCUUAUCCACUGAAGGUAGUUUAUCCAGACCCAUUGGGAACCCAUGUUUACUCUCCCAGACCACUGGCACGUGUGGCAUAUUGUGCAGGAAAAUAGUGAUUUGCUAAGUAGCCAGCAUCCCGAGGACCUGAAAGAGUGAGCUGGGUUCCAGUGGUGUAGUGAGGUGGAGGGUCCAAUGGCUUUCCCAGUUGUCUUCAAAAGCUUGUCAAGUGUUGAUCAGUUGCAGAACCAGAAAUCCCUGGUGUAUUUUGGACAGAAGAGCCUUCUCAGAGUUGAAUUUCCUUCUGAUAAGGUUCUUUCACUUUAUAGGCACAGUGAUUUUGUUUUUUAAAAAUAAAAUCUGAGUCACAUGAUGGAGAAAAAGACUAGCUGUAUAGGAAAAUAGUUGGCAGAUAUUAUGGAUCUCAAAGUCAGUAGGAACCAUAUGCUGCUGCUGUUCCAAAAGCAGAGGAAAAAAGAACUAAAAGGAUAAAGUAAUGCCAUAUUGUAUAUUGUGGCCAAGGACUAUAUUUGUUAUGAGCCCAGCAUCUACUUUUAAUUGCAGGAAUAGAUUAGGAGUCAGCAAACUGGCCUGUAGGCCCCUGUUUUUGUAAAUGAAGUUUUAUUGAAACACAGCCAUGCACACUGAUUUAUGUAUUGUGUAUGUUUGCUUUCAUGCUACAACAGUAAAGUUGUGUAAAUGCAGCAGAGUCUAUAUGGUCCGCAAAGUCUAAAAUAUUUACCAUGUUGCCCUCUAUAGAAAAAGUUUGCCAACCCCUGGGGUAGAUGUAUAAUCCUAUGGUAGAUGAAUAAAUCACAUUUCGCGUAGAGAUAUUUUAGUCUAAAUUAGAGAUACCCUCACAUUCAACCUCUAAUUUCUUCAGUGGAUAUCUUAAAAAAAAAUUUCUGUAUAGCCAAAUUAAAAUUAUUAUACAUAACAAAACUAUUAGUAAUCCCUUAAUGUAAUCUCAUGCUAGUUCAAAUAAAAAUUUCUGAAUUGUUCCCAAAAUAUAAUUUACAACUGGUUUGUCCACGCCAGGAGCGAAUCCAGGGCUAUGCCUUGCAUCUAACGUUUGUGUCUCUCAAGUCUCCUUUACGCAAGUCCCUUUUAUCAUGGCACUGACUUCCUGUAAGGGCCCUGCCGUUUGUCCUGUAGAAUAUUUCACCUUCUGCAGUAUAUCUGAUUGCUUUUGAGGGGUAUCAAGUAGUACGCUCCUCUCUGCCCUUGAUUGACUGUAAAUUGAAAGUUGGGUCUCAACUGAAUUCAGGUUAAACAUGGUUGUCCAGAAAUCAUGAGAAGUGAUCCUUAAAUCUGCAUCAAAGCUGAAGAUUUGUGUCACCCUUGGUGACACUAAGAUUGAUUAUCAGCUUAAUCAAUGAAUUAUUUUAAAAAUAUGAAAAGUGGCUUCUAAGAAAUUAAAACGUAGAAGCGCACGACUACACUUGAAAAUAUAAAAGCCGUGUCUGUCUCCUGGUUGCCGUUUGACAGCUGUUGAUGAAGUGCCUCAAAUGGUUCUUCACGGUUUAAGCUUAUGUCACGUGACCUGUUGCCCCAUAACUCCUCAUCCUUGACCGUAUUUGUGGCAGAAGGGUUGAAUCAUGAAAUUAUGUUCUGCAAAGAGUCAUUUGUUCAGCACAAGUUAUUUACUCUUUAGUUGAAUUUCCCAUGCGCUUAAUGUGGUGGUUGAAUUCUUGCUAGGAGAUUUGCAAAGCCUCCAGGCCGCAUGUAUCCAGUGUCCAUGGUUGCUGGAGGGCUGUGGUACUUGUAAGGCAUCUGCAAGAAGUCCGAUUAGCUUUUGCCACCUAAAGCUCAGAGUGUGAAUUCCUAAUUUAAAUUUGGUCCUUCUGUGUGGUGCACUUUUAGUUCUAAGAGUAUAUGCUUUCUUCAGUCCUGCAACAAUGUUUUGACUUGAGUUGUCUAGGUUCUGCACAGAGCCUCAAGGUACAUUUUUUUUAAUUUAAAAUAACCUCUUCCCUUUUAUAUAGGUGCGUUCCAAUUUUUUCUUUGUUUUUAAAUUUUUAUAUGUCUAAAGGAGAACAAAAUAUAAGCACAGCUGUCUACACAGAGACAAUGAGGUUCGUUAAUUCUCAUCUGCAUAAAAGCCAUUUCUACCAGUACAGCCUCUUUUUCUGUUACAAACUAGGUGCAAUUUGUCCAGAAAAAUGAAGGAUGUUUCCUAGUAGUAUGUCACUAGGAUAUGGCCUAUGUCUAGAUUGCUUUUAAUACUUGCUCCUGAGUUAUACCGGUAAACUUUCCUCACACAGAUCUUUGGAAAAAGCUGUAGUUUGUUUAUUAGCUGUAAUACAUGAUCCUGGCAUGAGUUAACUUGCAGACAAUUACUCUGUGACAAGCUGAGGCAGAUAAGUGUAUAUUGCUUGUAAUACGGUAGAUACUUCUUGAAUGCCACCCUUGUUACAAGUUUUAAUUAACUGAAUCUCUUCCUCUGUACAGCAAGCAAGAGGCAGUGGUUUCAGAGUUUCUGCUUGAUUCUCUACCCAGCACUGUCGUUUCAACAGGAUGUCCUUUAAGGAGGCUUCUUUGUCUCUGAUGUUAUGUAGUUGCGAGCUUGAACUGUCACUGCUACUUUUAGGCUCUUUUUCACAUGCUGCUUACCUAGGUUCCGUCACAGGUGUGCAGGAUCUUUCAUUUACCUGAUCGGGACUUCCAUUUGCCCAGUUCCAGGGGACACUAUUUAUAGAAAAUAGAAAGUGGACGGUGCCCUUUGGAUUUGUGGAAUGCGAUGACACUGAUCUUGAUUACCCACAUUGGAAACUUUCCAGUGAUAGAAUGUGCCCCAUCCCCAGUGGGAGUGAGUUCAAGUUCUUAAACACAGGCAGGUCUGAUACUGCACAGUCUGCCACUGCCCAGCCUUCCAGGCACCUCUCUUCCUCCCGAUCUCCCCACCCUCUCACAGUUCCCAGAGGGGGAGCUGGGGUUUUUGGAGGUCUCCAUGGCUUUACACACUCUCUCCUUUAGAAAUGCUAUUCCCACUCUAGGUUCGCCUAAAGAAAUCCUACUCAUUCAUUCAGUAAUCUAACCAUUAUUGAAUACCUACUAUGCGUCAUGCCUUGUACUAAGCAUAUAGAAAGUGCUCAACUAUAGUCUUGAACUGGAUAAAUUAAUCCUUGGAGAAGGCUCAGCAUAAAAUUACCUCUUUUAUAAAACUUUCUCCUUCUGGUACUUUGUGCAAAACUUCUUGUAAAUGAUCAUUUUGUUUUCAUUUACAUUGUGUUGUGGUUGCUUAAUUUACCUGAGUAUUUUCUCCUUCUGGAUCAUGAGUGCUUUGAAUACAAGAUCUUAUUUUUUACUUGUUUCCCAACAAAUAGCUCAGUAAAUUGGAAAGAGCAAAAAUUAGAGUAGAAUAGACUGUUUGAAUUCCAACGCCAUCUCUUACCAACUGGACAAGUUAAUUAACUUUUCUAAAUCCUGGAUUACCGAUUUGUGUUUUGGAGAUAAGAACAUCAAAUUAAAUCAGUUCCACAAGGUUUAUUUGUUUUUACUGUGUCCUUAGACUUUAAAUGAGAACAUGAUUGUACAUUUCCUGUACAGUGCCUUCCACACUGAGAAUGAACAUACUGAGGUGUCUACUCAUUAUAGUUCUCUUCUUCCCCUUUCCUGUACUUUGAACAUAGUAGGAACUCAUGAAUGUCUACUGAAUAAAUGGACAAAGCACAUAUGUUUCUAUCAUUAAAUAUGUUUAGCAAUGAAUGAGAGAAUUGGCAUGAAUUUUGUAUAUUAUUUCUUGGCAGUGGCAUCUCUGCUAAUCAGCUCCUGGGUAACAGUGACCUUGCCCUCUAGCUGUCUUAAACAGCAACUAACAGGCUCAGCCUUAGCCAUCUUUCUCUCUUUUGACAAAAGAAAGUAAUUAUUUGAAAAUCUAGUCAUAUACAUUUUUUUCCUUCCAAAAAAGAUAUAAGCAACACAAUAAACAAAAUUAUUAUUCAUUCUGUAUUAAUCCUUCCUGCCAAAUGUGAAAAAUGAAUUUAAAAGGAAUUCCUGGAAGAAUAUCUGAGGACCUAAAAAUAAAAAUCAUGGUUUUAUUUUAAGCUUGUCAACAGGGGUGACAGGUGCAAGAAUUGUAGCCCAGAUGUACGGGAAGCAGCUCAUAAAUUCUAUUUCUCACUGUGUUUUAUCUUGCCUGCCACUUUCCCUAAAAUGGAAAUAAUUUUUAAUAUCAUAGAGAGAGAGAUGGGAAAGUUCCACUUUUAUUUGGAAAGGUGACACUGUGGUGAAUGAACAUUCACGGGGACACUUGGCACUUAUCUAUUUUAGUGGCUGGCUUCUGGGAGAGAGGGAUGCCCUACAGCUUGGCACUCAAGCUCUUCAGGAUGCUGCUGGGCCUGUCAUUACUCUUCCUCUUUGUGGUCUCCAUGCUCCUGUUAAAGGCACUAGGAGGUGACCGUGGGACCUGAUUAGAAGUCCUUUUAUUUUCCUAAGCCAAUAUUCAGAGGCUUAGCUCUUUUUAAUUAGAGAGGAGAGGAAGGAUUUUUAAGUUUGAGGGGGGGCGGUAGGCAUCCCCAUUGAGAAGGAGAUUCAGCCUGGUUUUAGGGGACAGGACAGGACUACAGUACAUCAAUGAGUGUAGAGCUGGCCUGGACUCUGAGGCCCAGCGUGGGGAGUGUGCCGAAUCGUCUUUCUGUUUGACUUCUGGCUUGUUUCAUAGUGUGGACCACUAGAUCCUUCUUGUUACCAACAAAAGCCACAAUGGUGACUUGUCUUUUUGUAGGGCUGUCUCCUGUGGAAGGAGAUGAGAUUCUGUAUGACGUAAAACUAGACCAUGAGCUACGGAGUCUGUGCAAAAUAGGAGGUAGGUCAGAUACAAACCAUAUUUUCUAGCCUAAAUUUUUAUGACUGCAGGUAUUAUUUCUAACAGAAGUAACUUGGAAUUCUCAAACCUAUAAUUCUGACAACUUGGUCGAACCCCUGGCAUGUGUAUGGAAGUUUCUGCAAUGUAAAUAAGGAGAAGUGUGAGAGUAGGUCCCUGUCCUCCCGAUUUUAUAAUCUAUUUGGGGAGGCUAAAAGCAAUUGCUAAAGCUAAGUAACAAGGAAACAGGAAAUAACCAGUACGUAAAUAGAAGCUGCCCUCAGUUUGAUACCAACGCCGGGAAGUUCUUGGGUCCAGUGCAAAACUGGAGACCUGACUUGGUGUGUUCUGACCACAGAGCAGUAGAUGGUUUCUGCUCUGGGGAGCACAGUGUCAUCCUGUGGAGUUAACUUUGGCUAGGUAGGUCCCAAUCUAGCAGCGCAAAUGUGUCACAGGAAAGAAAGAAGAAACAAUCCCACUGCUCAAAGAGGUGGAAUUUAGCUUUCAUUAGGUUGUAGAAUAUACACUUUUUUUUUCUUUAACAACAGAUAGAACCAUGUUGUCUAUAGUUCAAGGAUGGACAGGAGACAGAAAUCUCUUAUUCACAUGAAGUUAGCCCUAACCAAAGCUAUUUAUAGUCUCUUCCCUAAGUAUUAUCCUGUUUCCCACAAAGCUGCCUUGCUUGUUGCACAACAUUAUAUGUGGCUUUGGUCAAAAGUAGACCACGUCAGGCAAUAGCGUGAAGGUCAAAGGCCUCUUGGCUAGGGAUGGAUGUGAAAGGUUGGUGGAUUGGGGAUCAAUUGAGGAAAGGAGGACAUUGGGGCAAAUGCAAAUACCGUACAGCAUUGUUUAGUAAGAAAUCUAUAUGAUCAGAUGGCGGAAAAUAUAAGAGCUUUUAACCCAGAAUGCUAAUUUCUAGAUAUUUAUACUUUUUUGGUGUAUCAAAAGUCACUGAGCCGUAUAGGUACCAGCACUUACUAGAAUUUAUUGAGUACCCCUACACUGAGUACUAGGGACUUGGGAUACAGUUGUAAAUAAGCUCUUGAAGCUUUCAUCAGUCGAUAUAGGAGUGUUGCCUAUUUACCAAGAUUAUUUUUAGGUUUUUGUCUGUUUGGUGAUAUGAUAAUGCACAUAUUUAUUCCUAACCAAUAUUCUUUAAUAAUAUUAUAAUUUAAUAACCAAUAAUGUUACGAAACAGUGUUAAUAGCGGAAGGUGAGAGGCUUCAUUUUAACGGGCAGGACUUGGUUCUCUCUAGGAUGCUGCAUUUGUUAAGGUUUAGUGCCUAUUGAAUAACACUCUCUUUGACUGAUCAGAAGCAUUUCUUUAAACUUUCCCAUAUCCACUGAGUUUUAAGUAAAAUGAAGAAAAACUGUUAUUAUGUAUUAGUAACCUUGAGACUUUUUAUGAGGAUUAUGCUUUUACUGUGUUGGUGAUAAGAAAUGCCUUUUGUGUGAGUGGUGCCCUGGUUUCUAUCAUACGAUUAUGAAUGAUUCCUAAUGGAUCAGCUUAAAAAGAGAUAAAGCCUCUUGAAUACAUGACUUUUGGGUACAUGUCUUUGGCCUGACCGUCCUUAUUUUUUAUUGUCAUUGUUCUUCAAUGUCAGAGCGCAUAAAGAGGAUGCAAGGUUACGUAGGCAGUUAAGUACCAUUUACCAGUCACCCUCCCUUUCCAGUGGCUCAAUGCUAUUUAAUUUAACCCUUGAGUAGUUAUUCUGGAAUUAGCGUGUAACGUUAAACUUAACUAUGGCUGGACAUGAAGGCUUAAGAUAAUGUUAAAUGCAGAGAAACUCCUUACUGAAUUGGAUGAUAUCCUUCCAGAAAUACAACACUAUGACAAAAGAUGUUCUUCUGGAAAUUAGUUAUUUUAUCUUCUUUCAUAUAAAUUUUAAGUCAUAAGCAGAACUAUGUCACAAUGUUUUCAGUUUUGUUUUUUUUUUGUGGGGGGAAGAUUGACUCUGAGCUAACAUCUGUGCCAAUCUUCCUCUAUUUUGUAUGUGGGACACCGCCACAGUGUGGUUUGUCGAGCGGUGUGUAGGUCCAUGCCCGGGAUCUGAACCUGUGAACCCUAGGCCACUGAAGCGGAGCGUAUGAACCUAACCACUAUGCCACCAGGUUGGCCCCAAUGCUUUUCAGUUUUGAAACUCAAGUAUUAGAAAGACAAUUUCCUUUCUCAGGCAGUGACUCCAGAAAUAAACCCAUAUUAAGGAUUUGCAAUGAAAAUGACUUUUAAAAGGAUCUGAGAGGUAGAAAUAUGAUUCACGUCCAAAAAAAUUAAAAAUUCCAAAAAACCCUAAAAAACAGGCCACCCAGAGGGUUGCAGCAAGAUCGGAAGGAAGGCAAUCAACAGCUCCUUUGGUCACCUUCUGCCCAUGCUCUUCUCCUGCUCCUGUGUGCAGAACUCAGAUGCCCGAAGCAUUUCCCAUGGGAGGGCUGCAAAUGCAGUUUUUUUCAGUCAUGUUCUCUUUCAUUUCUAUCAGCUGGGCUCAUUUUCUAGCCAUUAUUUCAUCAGCAGCAUAGCAAAGUUGCCACUCCUGGCAGAUAAUAAAAUUAUUCAAGCGAUUUUAUUUCCUUUGCUGAUCUUAUAUUCUCAUCAUUCUGUAUAUCCCAGACUUGGACAGAACCCCCACUUAUAUGCUAUUUUAGUAACAUUUUCUACUUACCUAUAAGAUUUCCCAUAAAAGUAGUUUAUUAUUCCUGUACCUACUAGUGUUAAGGUCAACCUCUCCGGGGGCCUCUAAGCUCCAUGAUAGUGGGAGACCCAUUUGUCUCAUUUCCCACUAAAUCCAUUGCUGCAUACUAGGUGUGGACAAAGGCAAUCAAAUGUGGCUACUAUUUAUACCAUUCGUUUAAAGUGCUAUUGGUAAAAGAAGACCAGGGUUUUCUAAAAGUCCAGGUACCUUUCUCCUUUUGCACAAAGUACUGUCUACAGAUCAAAACGGGUAACUGCAAGGGGCCGGCCUGGUGGUGCAGCGGUUAAGUGUGCACGUUCUGCUUCGGCGGCCUGGGGUUCGCCAGUUCGGAUCCUAGGUGCGGACAUGGCACUGCUUGGCAAGCCAUGCUGUGGUAGGCAUCCCAUGUAUAAAGUAGAGUAAGAUGGGCACGGAUGUUAGCUCAGGGCCAGUCUUCCUCAGCAAAAAGAGGAGGAUUUGCAGCAGAUGUUAGCUCAGGGCUAAUCUUCCUCAAAAGAAAAAAAAAGGUAACUGCAAAAUGCUCUAGAGGGUUGAGUCAAGCUCUGGUUCUUUUCUUUUGGUGAACCUUUGAGUCAGGCAAUGGUACCAGUUCUAAGUAGGUUCAUUUCCUGCAAAUUUUGUAAUAUAAAUUUUGUGUAAUUCAUUAUGUGUAAUGAAUUUUGAAAGGUGUAUUAAUAAAUUUGGUUUUGAUGGACCCACUUAGAAUCUCUCCCACCCCUCUUUUAUUCCAGGCCUUUCCUAUGAAUUGCUUUCCUUAAAAACUGCUGAUUAAACCAUGUUUAUUUGGAAGAAAAUCCAGUCCAUACAAAAUAGACUCAAUUUCCCUCAAUAUAUGUACUAAAGAGAUAUUUGUUGAACAGUUAAUUCUCAAAGGUGCAGUGGCAUUUUUACGUCUCUUGGCUUCCUUCUUUCCUUUAUCUAAGCUUCUGUUUCAUAUUUCCUACCAUUAGUAUGUUCUUUCCAUCUUUAAACUAUGACUGUUUGUAUUUCAACCAUCCUGUCAUCGCCCUUGCUUUUUAUUAUCGUUUAUUCGUAUGCAUGCCAUCUUGUCCUGUGUUCCCUAAUACGACUAUUCAAACAGUCCUUUCUUUUCAGUGUUAAGAUGGUGUUAACUCUCUUUUGAAGUUCACCCAGCCUAUUUAGGGAGUCUCACUUUAGUCUUAAGGCUGUACUCCAUUAAGCUCUUUUCUGUCCCUCUUCUCUCAUUUAUUCUAAGACCAGUCUUAAUUCUGGAACUUUUACUUACUUUUUCAUCUUUUGUAACAUAAAUGGGCCUUGUAUUGAUAUACCUACUUAGAGAGCAGAGCAGCUGUGGUAGAAAAAGAUAAAAAAGUAAAUUCUGUAUCUAAGAUUUCUCUCCCAGACCUUUUACAGUUCUUUUUGACAUCAUUCUGGAAUAUUCUCCAGAAUCCAAUCCCAUUGCAAAGUUCUCUGACCAAUGAAGUGUCCAACAGACUCGUUCCUCCUGUGGUCUGGAUCUUCAUAUCUGUUAAUGCAGCUUCAGUCUGCACUAACUUUUUAGUAAUUAAGCCACAUCGUUGGCUAGUAUUGAGUUUUCAGGAACCUAAAUCCCUUAUAAUAGUAGUAACAACAAUAGUUACAAGAAACUGCAUUCUUUCUGUAUAACAGGCAGUCUGCCUGUGUCCAUUCUAAAGCGUGAGGUUAUAUAGAAUGUGAAAUAAAGGCUUGAAGUGGUUCUGUAAAUUAUCCAAGCUUAUGCAAUUAGUAAGGGUCAAAGCAGGUAUUUUUAAAUUUUUUGCUUUUUCUCCCCUGCGAUGACUUGUGAAGUUGUCUUUCUUUCAUCCUACAUUCUAAUGCUGCUCAUUUUGGGCUUUUUUAUGUAUUCAUAUGAUAUUCCAGUUAUGGUAGUUUCAACCCAUUCUUUGAGGCUGAUUUUGUCAUGCUAUUUUUUUCUAUCCGUCUCAUAUAUUUGCAUCCUCCAAUGACCUGAUAAAUGUUCCUUCUGUGUCCGCCUGAAAGUUAUUGACAAAAAGUGCUUGUCAAGACAGGACCGAGAACAUAGGAGAGUUGCCCACCACCUGAAGAUUCCUGUCAUGGUGACUGUCCAUUCAUCAACACAUUUUGGAUAGAAUUGAUCAGCAAGCUAUGGCUCCAUUUAAUUAUACUAUCAUUCAGCCCCUAUUUCUAUAUUGUCCACAAGAAGAAUUUAAUGCAACUGAAAUCAACAAGAGUGAGCCACCACUUCAGAUCCUGUGCAAACGACAAACAGAACAAAACACAGUCUUUUUGUGGUUGUGGGGAGGAGGGAACAGGCAAGUACACAGGUAAUUGUAGUUAAACAUGAUGAGUUUUCUCCAUAUAUACAUAAAACUAGAGAAAUAUGAAAUGGAAGAGAAUAGAUCUUGCCUAGGGGGUUAAAGAAGGCUAUAUCUGGAUGGUAGUCUGCCCCCUGAACCUUAAAGGGGGUGUAGAGGGCUGUGUGGGCUGAGAGGACAUCGCCUGUACAUGUGGACAUGGACUGGUGCAGACAUGGGGGUGGAACAGCCAGUCAUCUACUCUGCCUUGUGAAGUGUGGGGUGCUUGGGAGAGUGCAGUAGGCAAUCGUGUUGGAGGGCUUGGUCAUGGACUGACAUGGAGAACUUUUGUCAUGCUAAGGAGCUUGGACUUGGCCACACCGACAGCAGUGUGCCAGUUAGGAGCACAGACUCUGGAGCCAGACUGCCCAGGCUUGAAUCCUGCUGUGGCACAUAUUGCUGUGUAACCUUAGGUGAAUUACUAAAACCUUCUGUGCCUCAGUUUACCUCUCUGCAAAAUGAAGUUAAAAUAUCAACUACCUCUUAAGGUUUUUGUGAGGAUUAACUGAGUGAAUAUUUGUUAAGCACUUACACAUUGCCUGUCAGAUGGUAAGCGCGAAGUGUUUGUUCAAGAGGAGAUUUUUGUCUUUGGAGGAGGAAAGUGAUGUGACAAAAAUUGAACAGCAGAAUGCUCCCUCUGGGGUCAGUGAGAAUGCUGGACUAGUGAGAAGCCCUGUGUGUACGGGAGACUGGGGAAAGGUGGAGGCUGUAGUGAAAGCAAUUAGAAAGCCAAUAGAAUGAGCCACUUUCAUUCAGUAUUCCAUUCAUUUUCCUUCUGCUAAUUGGCCUCUCCUUGUUGCUUGGUCAGAGUUAAAUCUCAGUGCACAAGCUCCCAUUUUGUUCUCUUCCAUCUUCUGAGAAAAGAAAUUAUCAGCCAGGCAAUUCGGCCGUCAGGCAUCUUCCAGCUGCUCUGCAGUGGGCACAGUAAGACAUGUUGUCGAUAUUUGGAUAGAUGAUGGUUCUUCAUCUUGCCUACAUCUUAACCUCUGUAAUUUGAGGAAAGCGUCCAAUUCACUGCUUUCUGUGUGGAGGUGGCUAAUAAACAACAAACACACGUAAAAAAAACCCAGCAACAGCAUAUCUGAUCAGCAGUCCUGCUGUAUGUAAAAUCCUGUGUCUGUUGCUGACGAAAUGGUAUGAGCCUGAUAAUUAAGCCGGAAGUUCUUCCUGUAGAGUAGAGGAAAUGGGAUUUUCAUUUUUAACCUCUAAUCUGCUUUUCAUCACGUGAAAUGUACAUGAAACACACAUCCAGCAAAUGGUAGGUUAACAGUAGACCCUGGCUAUGUGUAAUAUUUGGUAUUUCAGGACACUCUGAAGUUCUGCUUUCUAAGAUUCAAGUCAAGAUAAAAGGCUCACGUGAGUAUUGUAACGCACAGCCCUGGUGGUGAGUCUUUGCUUCAAACUUGGAAGCAAUAUUGAUUGAAGCUCUGAGCAAGGGCCCUCGUUUCUGUCUCUGGAUUUGUCGAAAUGAUCCAUCUAAAAGGCUGUAGGCACGUUAUGCUCCCUCAGACCUAUGAAGGUAAGACAGUUGUUAAAAGGAAGGCACAGAAUCGGUGUCUGCAGAGACAGUUUCACGAUGAUAUGGAGUUUGAUUCUAGGCCUGUGUUUUCAGAUCCCAGCAUCUCCAGUUGCCUUUUCCCCACAACAAGCACUACACAUGGCCCGUCAGUUGUCCUUCCACAGUCCUGAAGUCAUUCUCAACCCUGGCUGCACAGUGAAACCACUUUGAGCACUAAAAAAUAUCAAUGCCCAGGCCCCACACCCAGAGAGGCUGAUGCGAUUAGAUUGGCAUCAGUGAUUCUCAUGUGCAGCCAGAGUUGAGAACCUUUGUUCUAGAGACCGCCUGGACCUUAGGCAGGAGGGAUCUAAGGAGUUGGAGGUGUGCAUUGGCUCAGCUUUCCCAUGAUUAUUGCUAUUGUCUGGCUUUGACAUGGCUACACUUUUUGAAGCUGAUUUCUCUACCAGCAUCAAAGACCUGAAUCCCCUUUGACCCACUUCUGAUGACAGAAGUCCAGCCUUCUUUCCCUGUGGUUGAAUGAGUUCACGACUUGUUAAUCUGCCCAGAUCAUCACAGUCUCUGAAAGACCAGAGCUUUUUAUUUUUUGCCCAUGAAGAAUUGGAGCCUGGCUUGGUGAAUUGCCGCUAGAAUUCCUUGGUCUUAACUAGGUGUUCUAUAUAGCACUAUUCCUGAAUGCCCCCUUUCGCUAGUCUCGCUCCUGGGACGUGUUCUUGCCUCUGUUGGGUGUCUCUGCGAUGAGGUCUGCUCAGAACAACGACCAGGCGCCAUGUUCCCAAGUAGCUUUGCACUUGGUUGAUUAGACCUGAUGCACAUGAAGCUGGGUCUUAUCUUGUUUUCCCACUGUUUAUUGGAGCGGAGAAGCUGGAUCUAGUUCUUGAUUUGGGCCCCUUCAAAUCUACUUCCCUCUGUUCUAACUGUAGGUCAUUGAAUUCUACGUAGCCCUUUACAUAAUGAAAAUUAUUAAUUCAAAUGAACCCAUUUUGAAGACCAGGCUGCUGGGCAUUCUGCUUCUGGACAGGGAUGGUGGAUCUGAACCUUCAGAGAAUUCUGAUACAUCCUGUUUUCCACUGAAAUCACUGAUUUAUGAGGCUUGGAAUCCUUUCUUGUGUGGACGAUUCCUAUGAAUAUCUCCAACUGGUGAGACCAGUGGUUAGUGGAUGCCUAGGGGCAUCAUAGGUCUGUAGGCAGGUGGCUUGAAUGUUAGUGAUUUGCUUUGGUGGAUUUAACCUCAUUUCAGUGAUUUUUUUUUCUUUGUUAAUAAUACCCAGAGUGCUUCAUAUAUUACCUUAUCUAGCCUCCAGAAGUCCAGGUGUGAGGAUUUGUGGAUGCUCUUUCUCUUAUUGAGAUAGAAGGAGAAAGCGUGGGGCUCCCAUGAAGAUCACAGGAAGAGUAGGAAUAGAUGGCAGCUUCCAUUCUCAGCCUUGUAUAUUUCUCAUAUAUCAUGCUUAGCUUCACAAGUUUAGCUAGUGAAAAUGCUUAGAAAAAAUUGAUCUAUUAGUGUUCGGUCAGUGAGGAUUUUGUUUGUUGUUAAAGCCAUGACUUGAAAUUCCCUGGUCUAACUGAUGUGACAUCAGUUACAGAUGGAGGGGGAGAUGUAGAAGAUGGCAAACUAAUAUUUGAUAACUCUUUUAACAUUCAGAGUGUUCUGGGGCUUUGAUGCUGACCUAAUCAGUAAUUUGAAGAAAAAGUCCCUGCUGGCUCCACUGAAAAAUUCAUAUGUUCAAAAGCCAAAUUUAAGGCAAUUAAAUUAGUGACUUUUUAGAAGUGGAUUUAUUGUAGAAUUUCUACAGUUAGCAAACUCCUCACACAUAUUUAUAUUUGAAUUGGACUUGUAAAAUUUACAAUUUUAUGCAUGAAACAUUUCUGUAGACAUGUUGGUAAUCUGUGUUUUUGAGGCAACGUAGGAGGAAGACUUAUUUUAAUGAUAUUAUUUCCAUUUUGGUAGAAUGUUGCUGACCUUCCCAGAUUUGAUUGCUUUAAAGUAAAUGGUUUUUAUGUGAGGGUUGCUUUUUGGUAUUGUUGUGGGUUUGAAGAGAAUUAGCCAGAAGCUGGUUAUGUUCUAGUAUUCAAAAAGUCACUAAAUAGCUUUGAGUACCAUUUGUCUGUCACUUGACCCUUUCUGAGUGAAAGCCUCAUUUUAGAGUGAUAUGCAUUGAUUUGGCAAAUCUUUUGACAGGCAGGUUGAACUGUGACCCUGAGGAGAGAAACCCAGUGGAAUCAGCUUGUGGAAGUCCUAAGCUGGAGAGGGUGGGGGUUUUGGAUUCGCUGAAAGCUUAUGGAAGGGAGGCGUAUCUGACUUCUUUUCCUUUAUUUUUUAAAGUUAAAUAGUCUUCAGUAGUGUUUUGUUUUGUGAUAGCUCCUUUUAAUUUUUGGUAAGAAAGAAGUGCUUCUGGGAGCCUCUCUUUAUAGGUACUGAUGGAUAAUUCUGAAUUACAUUUUUGAGCUCUUAUAGGGUUAACUAUUUUGCUCUUAAUUCUUAGCCCUAAAGAAAAUGGAAAUGUUAGGAUAAUAAUGUAUAGCGAACGCACUUUCGCCUGCCCUUCUAGCUUUCUUAGUUAUGCAUAUUGGCUCACAUUUACAUUGCUGGUGUACGUGAAUAUGUCUUGAAAAUUCACCUGGACCAGUGGUAUCAUGAUCAAAAUAAUAAACUAUAUGCAUCAUGUGAAAAUUUUUACUAUCAAGAGAGAAAUCCAGUUUGAACUCCAUAUCUAGUUUUCUCUUAACGGUUUUUUACAUACCCAAAUUGGUAGUAUACUUACCUUCACUAUGCUCUUAGUAUAUGUAGACAUAGUUUUAGGAUUAUAUAAAAUUUGACUAGUUUGGAUAGUAUGAAGCAAGAUUCCUAGAAAUAAACCCCAAUUUUAAAAUAUUUACAUAUUUUAAAUAGUUUCUCACAUACUUGGGCUCUGAUUUUCCAAGCAACUACUUUGCUUAACACCUCUUUUAUUAAUUCAUUUUCAAAUGGAAACCAAGUAAGCUUUGGUUCUGCUGGUUUGUCAGUUCUCUGAGUGUUCCGCCGUGGACUGCAUGCUCUUCAUCAUUGUCCGUCUGCAGGGAGCAUUGGCACACACACCUGUUGGGGCCUCAUCUCUGGAGAUUCUGGUUCCUUAAGUCACAGAUGGGUGCCUGAGCAUGUGGAUUUUUGAAAAGCUCUCCAGGUGAAUCUAAUGUAUCUACUAUUGUAGAAGGACUCAAAUAAACCCCAGACAGGUGUGGCCUUUAAAGACUUCAACUCUGAGAUUCCUUACAGGUUGGUCCAGAGUGAGGUAUCAGAAAGUUUUAGAAAGAUUUAGAAAACUUACGAAAAUGAGAAGUUAACAAACAGAAAAAUACACAUUAUAAAAGAAUCGUCUAUCGUUCAGAAGGACUUUCUCCAGGGCUAUUUCAAAUAGAAAGCUUCUCUAGUACAUUCAAAAUAUCAAUGCAAAUUCUUAAAAAAUGUGAAAUGACUGACGUGUAGUUUUUUGAAACACAGCUACUGAGGACAGUGGCCAGAUUGUCCCAGAUCUCUUGUCUUUGACCAGAAAAGAAGUUGUUCGGGACCUGAACUGUUGACUUAUCAAUACUUUAGGAUCUGGGAAAACUAACUCAAAGUUUUACAUUAUUAUUAUUAAUAGGGAGGUUCCCAUAUAGUUAAAUUUGAUGAACAUGUAAUACAUUUUUCGACAAAAAUGUAACAAACAUGCAAUGUUUUUUAUUAUUGGUCUUUCCUCUCAGUUAAUAAUGCUUUUUAUUUAAGCAGUUUCUUCAAUUUGCAUCUCCUUUCCCUCUCUCAUCACCAUUUGUAUGUUUGUAUGGCUAGAAAGAUAAUGUUGACGUUACUGAAUGAUUAGGUCAAAUCACGGAGGACUUUGAAUUUGGUGCUGUAAAGCAUUUAAAUUGUUUUCUGAAAGUAGGCAAAGCCAGUGAAGCAGGAAGGUGACCUGAUUAGAUUUUCACUUUAGAAAGAUUCACCUAUGCUGGAUGAAUUGGAGGGAAGGGCACCAUGGAGAUUGGAAGCCUAGUUAAUAGGUUAUUUCAGCAGCUGGAGCUAGAGACGAUGAUAUAGACCUACCUAAAGCUAGGGUGGGUGGAGUGGAGGAGAUGGGGAAUGGAUACGGUGACCACAUAAUGUAUCCUUCCAAUCUGGACCAUUGUGAGUGUGAAAGGAAGCAUUAUUAAUAAUUGCCGCAGGACAACAGGCAUCAGCUGGGACUGUCCCAGACGAACAUAUAUCGGUACCAUGUGUGGGGAGAAUAGAGACAACUACUAGGGAUCUUCAAGAAGUUGAGGGAAGUUGGACGGAAAUUUGGAUGUGGGGAAUGUCUGGGCUGGAGACGUGUAUUUGGGGUCUUCAGUAUAGAGAGGAUUGAUAAAAGCUGAUGCCUGGCUUCUUGAGGUUGUUUUGGAUUUUGAAUAAAGAAAAGGAAGACAAGGACCUUGUAUCUAUUUGUAAAAUCAGAGCAGAAAAGCAUUUUUUCAUCUGAUCCUCUUGAAAAUCUUGAAUGCUUAGAGCAUAAGCAGAUAGGGUUUUUUUCCUCCCUCCCAUCCCAUAAAUCUUCGCUGGCUUAACAUGUGGUAUCUUCGUUACCCUCUUUGUACUUCGUUAUUUUUUUGUUUCCCAAUCAGCAAAUUGCAUUUUAAAUAGUCUGGGGUACUCAGGAACUAAUUAUAUAAUUUGGAAGUGUCAAAGUUCUCAUUACCCCCCUACAGUCUGCAGUGUUUUUCUUUGGAACCCUCAGAACACUUGGCAAGCCUUUCCCUUUAACACCAUGCUAGGGUUUCUUUAAAGCAAUUUCUAGGAAAAGGUAUUAUUUUUGGAUCCCGUAGGGAGAUCAGAAUUUUUUUUUUUAAUGUCCUUCUCUCCUUAAAACUGCAUAGCACACUCUGUGUCCAAUAUGAGAGAUGGAAAUUGCCGUCACGUCGUGUGCUUUACAUCAAUGGUGUGCUCUGCAGGCUGACUUAAGAGACCCGGUAAUAUGUUGGACAGCUGAAGUGAUACAGCUCCCUCCUGGGCUGGCACUUUUGAUGUUUGCUUUGUGUUUUGACUAUUGUCUUUGGGAUUGUAAAUUACUCCAGAAAGCUCAUCAGAGUCAAUUAAAUUCAACAUCUAAUUUUCAUCAAGGUUUUUGUUUUAUUCAGUUUUACUGUUCAGCUAAUUGAGGCUUAUGGAAGUCAAGUGCCUUGGCCAAGGUCGUCUAGCAUGUCAAUGUCUUAGCUCAGAUGAGUUUUCUUUUAGUCCCUGUUGAUUCCUGUAUUAUGCACUCAUCAAUCUGUUAAUUAACAUCUGAGUCAUCCUUGUUGCUCUCCUGAUGAACUGGCUGUGUUUAAGGGCCCUCAGCACCCUUUAUGGGAAGUUUAUGGGAAGUCUGCACACUCAUGCGUUAUCUUUUAUCUGCAAAUGAGAAACAUAUAGGGAUCACUUAUGAUAAUCUCCUGCACGGCAGAUGCAGCUCUCUGGGGAUUUGUCACCCCACGCCAGUGAAAUCAAGCUGCGGGCUGCUCCGGCUCGCCACUGGGAUGCCUGUGUGGGGUGGGAGAUAAGUCAUGCACUGUCUGGUAUUUGAAGCUGGCAUGGCAGAAGGCAGGGUGGCCUGCACAUAAAUUACUUCAUUUCAGGGGCACGAAGGCUUUCCUUUGCCAGGAGAGAAAUGUUUUGCAUUCAUUUCCUAGAGGCUGCUGGAAGUGUGGCAUGACUGUUAAAUUUUUGUUGCUGCUGCUGAAGGGCCUUGUCUGCUCAGAUACCAAAUGUGAAGCUCGCAGGAAUCCUGCUAGGAGACUAUUCCAGAAGGAUUAGACAAUAGAAACCCGCAAUUAGCCUCCAUAGUAGUGAGCCUUCUAGGAUAUGCUAGAAUGCGAAACACUUUGAAAAAUUCCUUGGUUGAAAUUUAAUUUAAGUGAAUAGCAUGAAUAAAGAGAAGGGUAUACUGUAAUUAUAUCUAACUUUUGAGGUAUGAGUUCAUCUAAAGCUAUACUCAAGCUACAGUUUUUUCUCUCCUGUGAAACUGUAUUCCCAUAGUAAUUCAUUUUUUUAAUGAAAGCAAAUUCUUUUAUUAUUGGUCUCCCCUCUCAGUUAAUAAUGCUUUUUACUUAAGCCCUUCCUUCAAUUUGUGUCUCUCCCGUCCUUCCCUCAUCACCACUCGUGUCCAUGUGCCUGGGAAGACAAUGUUGAUGUUCAUUUAGGGACAGUCUGUGAGCCAGUUAAUCGCCUACCUCCGCACAGAUAGCUCGGGAGCUGCUUUGCUGUCGGGCAGAGAUAAAUUAGAAAGGGAGAAAGAUGAUUUUAAAGCAAUGCUUUCAAAUGAUUAUCAAACAAAGGCAAGCAUUUAGGAAGCUGUUAAGCUGGAGAGAAAUCCCCAGAAAAGGAUAUGACGACGGACUUUAUCUCGCAAUAAGGGCGAAUGGUAAAAAUAAGUGUCAGCCCAGGCACAUUUUGUGUCAAUUCAAGUGAAGAAAGGCCAAUUUGGCACAGCAAGUGUUUGGAUCAUAUGCUGUAAAAUGCACAACCUUGUUUCCUGAUGCUGAUUUAUAGCUUUGUGUGCUUCAGGAUUCAUUUUGCCCUCUGAAAAAAUCCUGGACCCUCCAUGGAAAAGUGGGCAAAGCCUGAAGUGGCUGCAGACUUCAAGGCGCAUCACUUCUUGAGGGCAACAGGGCACAUUCCUGGUUUAGAUGGCUUUGUGCGUGGAGCUAACAGGCAGGGACAGUAUUUUGUCAGAAAAACCGUAAUGUGUGAAGUAGAAUAAGAUUCUUUGCAGGUGAAGUGGGCAGACCUGUUAGAGGGGCAACCACUCCAUUUAAAGGGGAUUCGGGUCUCAUCAGGAUCAAAUGAAGUUGAGCAGCAGUGGCUCAGACGGCCCUCAAAGAAGUGCAUCCGACUGCUUUGGUGGUUAUUUAUUGAUCUGAUCUAUUCCUGCAAAUGUCCGGAAAGCUCACAUGUUCAUCUUACACCUUCUUUGAGCUUGUUUCUAACACGUGGCAUUUCUUGGGGGCUAGGAGUCCUUAUGCUUUAGCACUUACUUUGCUAUUUUUCUUUUGAUGUUUGGCUGGCUGGAAUGAAAAAUUUUACAUCUGUCAGUUGUGUCCUUGGUUAGCUUCUUCAGCUUUGGGGUUAUUGAAUUCUUUCUUUUCUGCGUAAGAGCAGAAAUGCAUUUACAUUUAAGUCGAGGCCCUGCUGCUCCAUGCCUGCCCCUGGUUUUGGAGCUCUGCUGAGUUGGCGGGGUGUGCCUUUCCCUCCUCCCAUCCCUUGGCACUCUGUUAAUCUCAGCAGAAUAAUAAUGAGCUACUCCGGCGAGAUUUGUGGCUCACAUGUCUUUGGUAAGUUUUGUUUUCACGUAUAGCACGGUGUUCCUGCUUAGACUAUCGUGGUCCCCGUUGGUAACCUGCUUUUCAGAGCAGAUACAACGUGGUGCCAGGGGACCAGCAUUGAUGCCAGACCACUUUUCCUUUAUCAGCGUAAACACUGAGUAGACUGAUCAGACUUCAAAGAACAGACGUUAGUCAUUGCUCUGCUGAGCCACAGGUGCAGAGUGAGGAUAAGGCUCUUGUCUGUGCUUUGUCACUGUGGCUCCACUCUUCCUUUUAGUCUAUGUUUUAGUCCAUUUAUAACCAGGGAAAUAAGAGGGAAUUGCAAAAUCCUGGAGCUUGCUGGGACUUUAGAAGUCAUCUUUCCAGUCAUUCAGUUCACAGAUGAAGGGAGUGAACCCAGUUACUUUAAUUCAGCCGGUUUCAAUAAUCAGUGCCUAAGACUGGGUCAGAAUGUGGGUCUCCUGACCCUCAGUCUAAAACAUUCUUCUCUAAUCACUCAGCUUCUCACUGAGGUGAGGGUAAUGACCAGGAGCAGGGAUUACAGAGACUGCUUGUUGGAUUUCAAGAAGCAUGUUGGAAAGAGUGGGCUCAUCAGUUUUUUUGACUGGUUCUCAGAGUUGGAAAGAGGGGAGCAUUCUUGAAUAUUCCAUAAGGAUCUAAGUAUUAGUCUCUGUAACAGCCUUUCAGUUUUGCCUGGAGAAAUCUGACCUCUUGCUUUCAUUAUUAGUCAGGAGACAUUGCUGUUCCUGGACUAGCCAUUGAUUUCCACUUGCUUCAGCUUUCUCCCUGUGUAAAGUCAGAAUAAUAGUCCUCAUCACCACAGGUAGGAGAUGAUAUGAGCCUCCAUCUGUCCUAAGUUUCUUGUGUGGGAGGCUGAUCAUUCUGGGGGUGAUCUAAAUCAGUGGUUCUCAAAGUGUGGUCCCCACAUCAGCAUCAGCAUCACCUGGAAACUUGUUAGAAAUGCAAAUCCUUGGGCCUCAUCCCUGACCUCCUCUGUAUCACAAACUCUGGGGUAGAGUCUAGCACUCUGUGUUUUAAUGAGGCUUCCAAGUGAUUCUAAUGCACACUAAAGUGUGAGAACCACUGAUCUAAACAACUCUUUCUUGCCUUCCUCUAGCAUAGAUGAUAGUCACGAAACUAAGUUAAAAGAUAGUAUGUAUAUGAGAAUAGACUAAUAUUCGCAGAAAACUAAUUACCACUUAAACUUCAGGAAGGAGAAACAAGUGUUCUGUAGCUCUUUGUUUUGUAUUCC